AACGAACGCUGGCGGCAUGCCUAACACAUGCAAGUCGAACGAGACCUUCGGGUCUAGUGGCGCACGGGUGCGUAACGCGUGGGAACCUGCCCUUAGGUUCGGAAUAACUCCCCGAAAGGGGUGCUAAUACCGGUUAAUGUCUUCGGACCAAGGAUUUAUCGCCUUUGGAUGGGCCCGCGUUGGAUUAGCUAGUUGGUAGGGUAAAAGCCUACCAAGGCGACGAUCCAUAGCUGGUCUGAGAGGAUGAUCAGCCACACUGGGACUGAGACACGGCCCAGACUCCUACGGGAGGCAGCAGUGGGGAAUAUUGGACAAUGGGCGAAAGCCUGAUCCAGCAAUGCCGCGUGAGUGAUGAAGGCCUUAGGGUUGUAAAGCUCUUUUACCCGGGAUGAUAAUGACAGUACCGGGAGAAUAAGCUCCGGCCAACUCCGUG
rnacentral:rRNA from 1 species